rnacentral:misc_RNA from 1 species
UUUGAUGAUUCCUAAUUCUUGUAAUUUUAGAUAAACUGGACAUAAUUGCACCCAACAAAACAUUUAAAUCUAUUGUACUUUGUAACAAAUGUCCCAAAAGGUUCUCUAAAUAUUCCAAUUUAAAAAGGCAUGUCACUAAGUUUCAUCCAGGUGAGGACAAAACUUCUAUUUAGUGCUUUUUGGCUAUUAUUGUAUCCGCUGGGAGCGUUAACUUUGACACAUGGUCACGUGGUACACUGUGGCUGUUUGUGGGACGAUCUUAUGUGUAUUCCUUAUGGGUGAAUUCCAAAAACAAGAGAUUAUUUAAAAUAUUACUAUUAAUUUUGUACAAUUGUAUCAGUACAUCAUAAGAAAUUUUAUAUAAAUACUAUAUAUAGUAGAAAUUGUCUGAUAUAAUACAUAAAUAUAAUUUCGAUAUACAAACUUACGAAGAGAUUUUUAGGUUAACAGUAACAGCCGUAAUGUGAGGUUACGACUGUCAAGGACUUCGUAAAUGGAAACAAAAGUUGCAAAGCCAGAAUUUGCUCAAUCUCAAAGCCUUUUUAAUUCCUAUAAAGUUGAAAUGUUGCUUCCUCUGCAGCUUUUUCUGCUUAAGUAUAGUGUUUUUAACAUAAUACCACCAUAAUUCGGUCUUAAAUUUCUAUGAAAUAUAGUUUUUUAGUGAUAUUCACCAAGCAAAGUUUACAAACUGGUGAACUAUUCUAUUUUGUAUAAUAAAAAUGGUAAUGUGCUUUGUCCCGGAUUGUACAAAAUAUUGUGAAAGAGGGAUAUGUAGAUUCUUUGUUGUUCCAAAAGAUCUGGUUGCAAAGAAGAAUUUCAUUACUAAGGUAAGAAAAUAUAGUGAAGAGGAAGAAUUGAAUUUAUCAUUUUAUAUGAUUCACACACGGAAAGAAUCUGUCUAUUCUUUGUUGGUUUGCUCUUGCCACUUUGUGAAUUCUGACCAACAAUUUUUGUGCACAACAAAGCCAAAGGUUUUUUGACAGACAAUCAACUUUUACAUCCAAAUUAAAUGAGUAAAGUAAGUCAUUUUACUUGAAUAUCUGUGUUGAAAUAUCUGUUACAAUGCUGUAGAGGGCAAAUCUACUUUAUAGAAUUUAUUUUCAAGGACCCAUUCUGCAUAUAGAGGUCCUCUCAUUUCGCUGAGUUGAUUUUCAUUUUAGUAUGAUAAUAUAUUUGUUGGUCCAUUUAUAUUUUCUUUGUCCGCCUAGUUCAUAAAUUCUCAAUUUUAUGAUGUAGAUAGUGAUGCCCGAUUGAAAUUCCAAAAUUUAUUUCCAUUAUCUCAAAUAUACUAAAUUUACAAUUAAGAUGCAGUAAAAUUAAACAAACCAAGACACGUUAAAUGCUGCUAAUAAGAGCACUCCUGAAUCAUAAUUUACAAUGUAUAUACACUGUAAAUCCCAAAUCAUUAUUUCCAAAGUUUAUACAUUGUAAAUUAUAAUUCACAAGUGCUCCUUGUAGCAUUUAACGUGUCUUGGUUUGUUUAUUUUUACUGCAUCUUGAUUGUAAAUUUAGUAUAGUAUUUAUUGAGAAAAUACUAUUUUAGCUUGCCAUUUUCAUUAUAAAUUAUUUCCAGUAAAACAGUCAUUCUCUUUAGAUAUUUUAUUCCAAAACAUAUUUAUUAAGUGCUUAAUUUUUUGUAAUUUUGUCUUAAUAGAAAUACCUACUUCUUUAUCUGUUAAUAUUGACCUUCAGGUAAUUUCUUUUGCUCAUAUAAAUACGAUGUUAUGUGCUGGUCUCACUCAGGUUCAUUUGUAUAGGCUCUGCCAAGUGAAACCUAAACAAACCUAGUUGGCACCCAGGAGAAGGGCAUGGCCCUAUUUCAAAUAUGAGUAUUAUAGAAAAUUAACAGUUCCCCAGGCAACCAUCCAAUGAGAAUCGUAGAAAAAGUAACAGUUCCCUACGCAACUAUCCAAUGAAAAUCUUAAGGCCAUAAUGAAUUGUAUCACCCGAAUGUCAUUCUCUAGGGGUGAGCAAGUCUCUCAGGCUGGGUUAAUUCACCAUUGCCUACUUGCAAGAGCAAUUGUCAACAUUUCUACAGUUCCACAGGUGACCAUAUUGUCUCUUUUUGGACAUACCAUCUGACACCCUCUGAAGAAGAUCUUGGGGUGUAAAUAACCCAGGACAGCACCGGAAGAAGCCGUCAGACCACAAGCUAAAUUUCUUAUUAAAAUCUAUAGCUUGCCUAUAAACAGAGACAAACUAUUUUUAUAUAAAAUAACUUUAUUAGUUCUAAAAUGUAGAUCUUGAAUUGUGACCAUAAUAAAAUGAGAAAAUAAAGUGUUUAUACCGAA